rnacentral:rRNA from 1 species
CCUACGGGGGGCUGCAGUGAGGAAUAUUGGUCAAUGGACGAGAGUCUGAACCAGCCAAGUCGCGUGAAGGAUGACUGCCCUAUGGGUUGUAAACUUCUGUUAUAUGGGAAUAAAAUGUUCCACGUGUGGGAUUUUGUAUGUACCAUAUGAAUAAGGAUCGGCUAACUCCGUGCCAGCAGCCGCGGUAAUACGGAGAAUCCGAGCGUUAUCCGGAUUUAUUGGGUGUAAAGGGAGCGUAGAGGGGUUGUUAAGUCAGUUGUGAAAGCUUGGGGCUCAACCGUAAAAGUGCACUUGAUACUGGCAGUCUUUAGUACAGGUGAGGGAGGCGGAAUGCGCGGUGUAGCGGUGAAAUGCUUAGAUAUCACGAAGAACUCCGAUGGCGAAGGCAGCUUACCAAACUGCCACUGACGUUGAGGCACGAAAGUGUGGGUAUCAAACAGGAUUAGAUACCCGGGUAGUC